rnacentral:rRNA from 1 species
AGGGUUCGAUUAUGGCUCAGGACGAACGCUGGCGGCGUGCUUAACACAUGCAAGUCGAACGAAGCUUGAUUACGGAUUCUUCGGAAGAAGUAUGAUAUGACUGAGUGGCGGACGGGUGAGUAACGCGUGAGUAACCUGCCUUCAAGAGGGGGAUAACAUUCUGAAAAGAAUGCUAAUACCGCAUGAUAUAUCGGAACCACAUGGUUUUGAUAUCAAAGAUUUUAUCGCUUGAAGAUGGACUCGCGUCCAAUUAGUUAGUUGGUGAGGUAACGGCUCACCAAGACCGCGAUCGGUAGCCGGACUGAGAGGUUGAACGGCCACAUUGGGACUGAGACACGGCCCAG